rnacentral:rRNA from 1 species
GACGAACGCUGGCGGCGUGCUUAACACAUGCAAGUCGAACGGAAAGGCCUGCUUUCCCUUGUGGAUUGCGGGUACUCGCGUGGCGAACGGGUGAGUAACACGUGAGUGAUCUGCCCCCAACUUUGGUAUAAGCCUGGGAAACUGGGUCUAAUUCCCGAUAGGACUGCAGGGUGGUGCCUGUGGUGGAAAACGAUUUUCUAGUGGUUGGGGAUGAGCUCGCGGCCUAUCAGCUUGUUGGUGGGGUAAUGGCCUACCAAGGCGGCGACGGGUAGCCGGCCUGGGAGGGUGGGCGGGCACAUUUGGACGGAGAUACGGCCCAGGCGACUACGGGAGGCAGCAGUCGGGAAUCAUGCACGAUGGGCGGAAGACUGAUGCCGCGACGCCGAGGGAGGGAUGACGGCCUUCGGGUGGUAAACUCCUUUCGACCGCGCGGAAGCCACCUGGUUGGAAGGGUGGUGACGGUAGUGGUAGAAGAAGCACCGGCUAACUACGUG